rnacentral:rRNA from 1 species
UGGGGAAUAUUGCGCAAUGGGCGAAAGCCUGACGCAGCCACGCCGCGUGAGGGAUGAAGGCUCUAGGGUUGUAAACCUCUUUAGGCAGGGAAGAAAAUGACGGUACCUGCAGAAUAAGGUCCGGCCAACUACGUGCCAGCAGCCGCGGUAACACGUAGGGACCGAGCGUUGUCCGGAUUUAUUGGGCGUAAAGAGCUCGUAGGCGGUUCGGUAAGUCAGGUGUGAAAGCUCGAGGCUCAACCUCGAGAUGCCACCUGAUACUGCUGUGACUUGAGUCCGGUAGAGGAGUGUGGAAUUCCUGGUGUAGCGGUGAAAUGCGCAGAUAUCAGGAGGAACACCAAUUGCGAAGGCAGCACUCUGGGCCGGUACUGACGCUGAGGAGCGAAAGCGUGGGGAGCGAACAGG